CGUAGGUUAAAGUCAGAUGAUGUAUAUUUCUUUCUCUUUCGUAGGAUUUAGACAAAACAUGGCGGAUCAAUUGUGGUCAGUCUCUUAUUGUAGUGUCUCUAGGUUGCUUGACCGAUCAGAGGAGAUGGAAUGAAAUAAAACGUUAGGUGUGUCGGCGUCCGUUUUUCAUAUAUAUCAUAAGAAUCGUGAUCGUAGUAUUAGCACACUGAAUACAUAGUGAUAAUCAAGUUGAGUGGUAAUUAAAUUCUUGGUUUAACCGGGAAAUCGAUUUAAGUAGAAGUGCACAUGAUUGCAAUUUCAUAACGAUCCGAAAAUGUUUUGGUAAAUGCGCAACAAUAGCAUAGCCUGAGAAAACGGGUUUAGGCGACUAAACUACAUUGUUUUUCAUCGCGUCUGUUGUUCAUCUGUACACGAAGAAGGGUAUGUUCUUAUGGGGUAGCGAGUGGGCGAUAGCCUUUGUUGUGGAAUGGAGACGGAGAGCGUAAAAUCCGGGGCUAGCGAGCAUAGCCAUAGCCAUCACAGUAGAAGCUCUCAAAAGCAUCAUCGAUCUCACAGCUCGAAACAACAUCACAGGCAGCAUUCUCAUCGCACCACUAGGAGCAAUCGAAAUCAAAGGAAAGAGAGACAGAAUUUGGAUACAAGCGAAAUGGCUCCAUUUCAAACGACAGUAAAUGUGCGAGGAGAUAGUGUGGAUAAUUUAGGUCAGGAAGUAAUUGAGGUACAGAUACUACCGCAAGAUGAGAAUUGGGGAGAAAAUACUACAGCUGUUACUGGCAAUACUUCGGAUAGAUCAGAAUCAACUGAAGAUGUCAGCCACUGGCCAAAUGAAACUGAUGGCACAUUUGGUUCUGGUUGUAAUCGCUAUAUUAGUUUAAUCGUGGCAAUAAUACUUGGAAUAAGUGCUUUUUUUAGUCCUAUAGCUAUGGUUAUUUUACCUAAAUUAGGAUUUUUUCCCGAUUCUACAACAAUAUUGACGAUACAACAGAAGUUACAUCUAUUGUCAUGUAACAUUGAAUGCAAAGGUCAACUAUUAGGAUUAGCCUUUAAAUUAGUGCUACUAGUUAUUGGUAGCUGGGCUGUGUUUCUGCGUCCUCGAAUUGCUACUAUGCCACGCAUAUUUUUAUUCAGGACAGGAGUAUUGUUACUCACUACAUUGUGCAUUUGUACUUAUUGGCUUUUUUAUGUUGUACAGGUCACUGAGAGUGCUAAGACUGUUGCCAAUGGCGAAAUAACAGAGUACAAAAGUUUAGUAAAUUAUGCAAGUAAUCUUGCCAAUACACUCCUGCUUAUUCAUUACACCGCAGUGCUCCUUAUUAAUAUUCGUCAUCUACAGCCUACGUUUUAUCUUAAGGUUGUUAGAUCACCAGAUGGUGAGUCAAGAGCCUAUGCAAUUGGCCAGUUAUCGAUACAAAGAGCAGCUGUAUGGGUACUAGAAAAAUAUUAUACAGAAUUUCCGAUUUAUAAUCCAUACUUAGAAAGACUUCCGGUUUCAAAGUCAAGUAGAAAGCAAUCGAGUUUCAAAUUUUAUGAGGUUGAUAGUGGAAUGACCAGUGCCAUGCAAUCACGUGCUAGUGGAGACCGAGCGAUCUUGACGGCACAAGCCCGUCGUCGUGAUUCCAGUCAUAACGAACGCUUCUACGAAGAGCAUGAUUAUGAACGACGGGUGCGAAAACGUCGUGCAAGAUUAAUUACUGCCGCCGAAGAGGCAUUUGCACAUAUCAAACGGUUGCACUCCGAAGUAGAAUCUACGCCAAAUCCUGGGCCAAUGGACCCUAUGGAAGCCGCGCAAGCAGUAUUUCCUUCUAUGGCAAGAGCUUUACAAAAAUAUUUAAGAAUCACUCGACAACAACCACGUCACUCCGUAGAAUCUAUUUUGAAUCGUCUUGCUCGAUGUCUUGCUCAAGAUGCGGCACCACGCGCAUUUUUAGAACCAUUCUUUGCCACGAGCCCAGUGUUUUCAAAUGAAAAGGAGAGACAAAAACGAUCACACCAUUGGGCCUUAGUAUGCGAGGGAGAACUACCUUCACGUCCGAUUGCUAAUGGUUGGUCAACUGAGUAGAAUAGCAUCAAUUUAUAUACCGUGGCUUGGUAUUGUAUUGGAGAAUUUGCACCGAUUACAAUCAGUAGAAGAGAACGAGAUCAAAAUAGAAAUUAAACAGAACGAUGCUAAUAGAGUAUCAACUAGCAGCUCAUUCUUGGCAACAAAGGAUGGUGCUAGUUCUACGACCGCUGGUACACCCAACUCUAUUCAUUCAGACUGACUCUUCAUCUGGACACACAAUCGUCUAUAAGAACAUCUAUGCAUCUACGAGAUUCUACUUAUUUCGCCGCCAUUGCGAGCCAAGGAUUAGUUAACAGAUAUUCUUGCAGUGUUGAAUCUAAUACAUCAAUGAUGUCUGGUACGUCUCAAUCCAAUAUUUCUCAAGAGAUCGCCAUUGUUCGAGAGUUAACA
rnacentral:misc_RNA from 1 species